rnacentral:piRNA from 1 species
UCCUGACAUACAGCGGUAUAAUGGCAAC